CAACGUAAUAUUUUUCUAUUAAUUGAAAAUUAUGCAUUCUGUCAUGUUAACAUUUGAUGUAAAUUAGCCAAUAUAACAAUAAAGUGUAUAGGCAUAUGUCUUGUCUUAAAUUACCAUUGAAAACAUAUACUGAGAGAUAUUGGGAGCUCUGAAUUUUAGUCUUUGUUAAAAAGGAAAAGUUUUUCACUUAUGUACAUUUUGUUCCUAAUUAUAGGCGAAGUUCUGAGACUCUUAUUUUGAUGGGUGUUUAAGAAACCCGGAUGUUGUGUGCUGCGGUUGCUUGGUUGUGGGAGUGCGGGUAGCUGAGCGCGCGGCGGGAGGAGCCAUUUCUCUCUUAAUGUCUUUAACUCGCCUUGUUUUUGGUUUAGUAUAAAUAAUAAUUUCACUUAUGUAAAUAUAAAUAUUCAUAUAAUAAAUAUCCAAUACAAAAAUACAUACAUGCUACUAAUUCUAGACAGGCUAAAAAAGUAUAAAGUGUAGCUAGCUAGCUACAGGUGGGUGUUUUCACCACAGCCCACAGAAACAAGGAUUUGUAAUGAGUGCUGUUUAGAAUGAAACGCUGAGAUGAACAGACAGAUGGACCCACAGACGGACAACAGACACAGAAAGGAAGGCAGGAUCGGCUCAGUGGUCAGAAGAGCAGACAUGAUGUCGGAGCGACUGGAACAGAGAGCUGGA
rnacentral:lncRNA from 1 species